UUACACCCCGCAAAUUAGUGUAGAAGUCUAUAAAACCCACCUUAUCAAAUGUAGAUUGAAAGACGCAUGUGGAAGUGCUUGGUUAGGACAUGAGCAACCUGAUCAACAACAUGUAAAUGCUUGACUUCAACCUUUUUGCGUUGCACCUGCUCACGGACAAAGUGGAAAAGGAUGAAGGGGUAAAAAUAAAAGUAAAUUAAAAAAGGACAGAUAAUAUAUUUCUAAGUUUGCCUAAGUAUAAUUUUAAUUUGAAAGAAAUAAAAGUUUUGAUUUUCGAAAAGAAAAAUAUUAAGAUGUCAAUAAAUUUAAGAAUUUUUCCAGAUAAUACAUUUUGUUUCCAUGAUAAUACACACAGGACUAAGUGUAGAACUGGCAAUUCCCAUAUUUGAAUAUUGGAAUCCAUGUUCAAAUCCUGGCAGUGCCACAACUUUUUGUUGUUUAUUUUUUUCUCAUUUGUGUAAUUAUUUUUUUUUUUCAUUUGUGUAAUUUUAUUCUUUUUCAACUUCUUAAUAAAUGACAUUCCCAACAUUGUAGACAAUUACAAACACAGGGCUUAUUCGAUGUGAGGGAUAAGAGAUAACUUAUUUCUAGAUUAAUUUUAGGGAAAAGUCAUCAUUUUCAUCCGAAAUUAUACUCGAAAAGUCUAAGACACGGUUAAACUAUUGGAGUGACCUAAUACACACCUAAACUACUUAAAAGUGAAAUUUUCUAUACCCUGUAAAUCAUUAUAUCAUUUACAUGUGGUACGAUGUUUUACACGCGUCUAUCAUAUCAGCUCUACGUCAGCAUAAUAGGAAAAAAAUAAUAAAUCUAUUAUUUUAUAAUUUUUUUUUCUUUUUAAUUUAAUUUUUUUUCUUUUUCUACAAUAUCCAAAAUCUCCAUUGUUAUGAGGUCAAUUUUUUUCUUUUCCUUCAACGUCCAAAUCCUCCUUGAUGCUUCAGCUUACACAAGAUCAAUUCCUCUUUAUAUUUGUUGAUAAAAAAAGAACAAGAAAAUUAUGAACUUUCAAAGCUUUUGUACGCAUUUUUUAAGUUGUUCAUGAAAUCAAGUAAGACAAAAACAAAGAUAGAUGAAAUUGAGACAAUCUCUCAUUAAUAGAGCUAACCAGUGCUUCAAAUACCACCAAAAUGCAUGAUCAAGAGCUGUGUUGUCCACUCGAACCGAGAUCUGAAUCGAUAGAAUACAGAAUAGUAGAAUUGAUUACAACCACGACUGGGCAAGACACUGAAAUUGCGUCAAUUUCAUCGCCGGCGAUGUAGCUCCAGCGGCGGUUGCUUGAUUUGCAGCUUCGAUGGGGUCAAUAAUAAGUUUCGAUGGUUGAAUUGAAUUGGGGGAAGAAGAAGAAGGAGGAGGAGGAAUUUUAGCCAUUGUUAAUCGUUCAAAACUCAUUAGUAACUUGAAAUUGAAAUUGGAAUUUUCAGUUUGGGGAUUUUUGAAUUUGGAGAAGAAGAAGGAGGAGGAGGAGGAGGAGGAGGAGGAGGAGGAGAUGGAGGAGGAGAUGGAUUGGAAUUAGCAACUUGAAAUUGGAAUUGGAAUUGGAAUUUCAGUUUGGGGAUUUUUGAAUUUGAAGAAGAAGAUGAAGAUGGAUUGGAAUUAGCAACUUGAAAUUAGAAUUUUCAAUUUGAAAAUUUUUGAAUUUAGAGAAGAAGAAGAAGAAGAAGAUGGAUUGGAAUUUUCAGUUUGGAGAUUUUUGAAUUUGGAGAAGAAGAUGAAGAUGGAUGUUGGACGUUGGGGCUGGGAUGGACGUUGGGGCUGG
rnacentral:lncRNA from 1 species